UUACUUGGAUAACUGUGGUAAUUCUAGAGCUAAUACAUGCAAACAGAGCUCCGACCGGAGACGGAAGGAGCGCUUUUAUUAGAUCAAAACCGAUCGGUGGUGGAUUUAUCCAUCAUCGUAUAACUUGGUGAAUCUGAAUAACUUUAAGCUGAUCGCACGGUCUAGCACCGGCGACGCAUCUUUCAAAUGUCUGCCUUAUCAACUGUCGAUGGUAGGUUCUGCGCCUACCAUGGUUGUAACGGGUAACGGGGAAUCAGGGUUCGAUUCCGGAGAGGGAGCCUGAGAAACGGCUACCACAUCCAAGGAAGGCAGCAGGCGCGCAAAUUACCCACUCCCGGCACGGGGAGGUAGUGACGAAAAAUAACGAUACGGGACUCAUCCGAGGCCCCGUAAUCGGAAUGAGUACACUCUAAACCCUUUAACGAGGAUCAAUUGGAGGGCAAGUCUGGUGCCAGCAGCCGCGGUAAUUCCAGCUCCAAUAGCGUAUAUUAAAGUUGUUGCGGUUAAAAAGCUCGUAGUCGAAUCUGUGUCCCGCACCGCCGGUUCAUCGUUCGCGGUGUUAACUGGCGUGCCGCGGGACGUCCUGCCGGUGGGCUUAGCUCGCAAGGGCGGCCCAAAUCAAUCCUGCCACGGUGCUCUUCAUUGAGUGUCGAGGUGGGCCGGCACGUUUACUUUGAACAAAUUAGAGUGCUUAAAGCAGGCUAAAAUUUCGCCUGAAUACUGUGUGCAUGGAAUAAUGGAAUAGGACCUCGGUUCUAUUUUGUUGGUUUUCGGAACCCCGAGGUAAUGAUUAAUAGG
rnacentral:rRNA from 1 species